rnacentral:piRNA from 1 species
UAACAUUCUGGAUGAAGUGACGUUUCCUGC